rnacentral:rRNA from 1 species
AAUAGAUACCCGGGUAGUCCUAGCUGUAAACGAUGAGCACUGGGUUGAGGGGACUUCCACAUCCUCUCGGCCGUAGCGAAAGCGUUAAGUGCUCCGCCUGGGGAGUAUGGCCGCAAGGCUGAAACUCAAAGGAAUUGACGGGGGGCUCACACAAGCGGUGGAGGAUGUGGCUUAAUUCGAGGCUACGCGAAGAACCUUAUCCUAGAUUUGACAUGGUUGAGAAUCUCCUUGAAAGAGGAGAGUGCCCUUCGGGGAGCUCUUUCACAGGUGCUGCAUGGCUGUCGUCAGCUCGUGUCGUGAGAUGUUGGGUUAAGUCCCUUAACGAGCGAAACCCUUAUCUUUAGUUGCCAGCGGGUCAAGCCGGGGACUCUAAAGAGACUGCCGGUGUCAAACCGGAGGAAGGUGGGGAUGACGUCAAGUCCUCAUGGCCUUUAUGUCUAGGGCUGCACACGUCCUACAAUGGCACGUACAAAGGGAAGCCAAGCCGCGAGGCCGCGCUAAUCCCAAAAAGCGUGCCCCAGUUCGGAUUGCAGG